CCGCUGCGCGAUGGGAGAAUCCGGCCACAUGCCGGUGCCGAAGGAGCAAACGCCCCGUUAAACUCUCAGGCAAAGGGACCUCGCGCGUCAA
rfam:Palleronia marisminoris strain CECT 7066 genome assembly, contig: 0011